AUUUAAAUGAGAGUUUGAUCCUGGCUCAGGACGAACGCU
rnacentral:rRNA from 1 species